AAGUCGAGGGGCAUCAUGAGGUAGCAAUACCUUGAUGGCGACCGGCGCACGGGUGAGUAACGCGUAUGCAACCUGCCCGAUACCGGGGUAUAGCCCAUGGAAACGUGGAUUAACACCCCAUAGUACUUUUAUCCUGCCUGGGAUGGGAGUUAAAUGUUCAAGGUAUCGGAUGGGCAUGCGUCCUAUUAGUUAGUUGGCGGGGUAACAGCCCACCAAGACGAUGAUAGGUAGGGGUUCUGAGAGGAAGGUCCCCCACAUUGGAACUGAGACACGGUCCAAACUCCUACGGGAGGCAGCAGUGAGGAAUAUUGGUCAAUGGACGAGAGUCUGAACCAGCCAAGUCGCGUGAGGGAAGACUGCCCUAUGGGUUGUAAACCUCUUUUAUAAGGGAAGAAUAAGUUCUACGUGUAGAAUGAUGCCUGUACCUUAUGAAUAAGCAUCGGCUAACUCCGUGCCAGCAGCCGCGGUAAUACGGAGGAUGCGAGCGUUAUCCGGAUUUAUUGGGUUUAAAGGGUGCGUAGGCGGUUUAUUAAGUUAGUGGUUAAAUAUUUGAGCUAAACUCAAUUGUGCCAUUAAUACUGGUAAACUGGAGUACAGACGAGGUAGGCGGAAUAAGUUAAGUAGCGGUGAAAUGCAUAGAUAUAACUUAGAACUCCGAUAGCGAAGGCAGCUUACCAGACUGUAACUGACGCUGAUGCACGAGAGCGUGGGUAGCGAACAGG
rnacentral:rRNA from 1 species